rnacentral:rRNA from 1 species
AUGAGCAACGGCAGGAUGAACGCCGCGGCGGGCGACGACUUACCGUUAGGGGCAAUGCAGCCGCCGCCCUACGUCGGCUUUGAGCUCGCCGGCAUGAUGGCUGGUGGCGGAGGAGGAGGCCAGCGCCACGAGGGGGCGAUGAUAUCCGACAACUUCGACUUCGCGGCGGCAGCGACCGCCUUCAACCGGUUACGGGAGGCGCCGCACCACCAGAUGCUGGCGCUGCCGCCCAACGGCAAUGGCACCGGUGGGCUGGUCCUUAUGGCGCCGCCGCCCAUGUCCAGGAUGCAGCUGCAGAUGCCGCCCAUGGCCAUGGACGGUCACAGUGACGUGUACCCGGCUCUUGGGAUGGUGAAGCGCGAGGUCGGCGCCGGAGACGAGGGGAGGAUCGGCUUGAACCACGGCCGGCGGACCUACUUCCCCACCGGCGACAUGAUGGCGGUGGACCGGAUGCUCAUGCGGUCCCGUCUCGGCAGCGUGUUCGGCCUGGGAUUCGGCCGCGCCCACCGCCAACCGCCUCAGUGCCAGGUGGAGGACUGCAAGGCCGACCUCUCCGGCGCCAAGCACUACCACCGGCGCCACAAGGUGUGCGAGUACCACGCCAAGGCCUCCCUCGUCUCCGCUGCCGGCAAGCAGCAGCGCUUCUGCCAGCAAUGCAGCAGGUUCCACGUGCUCACGGAGUUUGACGAGGCCAAGAGGAGCUGCCGGAAGCGGCUCGCAGAGCACAACCAUCGCCGGAGUAAACCGGCGGCCGGCAGCGCGAGGGCGGCGUCCAAGGUCUUGGCGCCACCUUCCAAGAAACCCAACGCCAGCGGCAUCUCCAGCUCCUACGCCACCAACAAUAACACUUUGAGCGCGACCAACAAGUCGACCAUCUCGUCCAACACGAGCGCGACCAGCUGCCUUAAGCAAGUCCAGGCCAGCGUAGCGACGGCGAGGCGGAUGACGCUCACCCUGGGCGUGCCGCCAGAGAAGGAGCGCCGCCAGCAGCAGCUCAGCAAUGCCAUGCAGCUCCACCACCAACGGGAGCAGCAGCACUUCAUUACCUCCCUCCUGCACAGAAACGUCAACAACAGCAACAUCAUGUCAUGUUCCUCUGUGUGCUCCAGCACGAUGCCAUCGGUGGCGGCUGCCAACGGCCGGGUCUCCGACCAGAACAACAACAACACCAAUGGCAGCAACCAAGCCAACAACAGCAUGCUUAUGUUUGAGGUUGACUUCAUGUAG